rnacentral:rRNA from 1 species
AUUGAACGCUGGCGGCAGGCCUAACACAUGCAAGUCGAACGGUAACAGGAAGAAGCUUGCUUCUUUGCUGACGAGUGGCGGACGGGUGAGUAAUGUCUGGGAAACUGCCUGAUGGAGGGGGAUAACUACUGGAAACGGUAGCUAAUACCGCAUAACGUCGCAAGACCAAAGAGGGGGACCUUCGGGCCUCUUGCCGUCGGAUGUGCCCAGAUGGGAUUAGCUUGUUGGUGGGGUAACGGCUCACCAAGGCGACGAUCCCUAGCUGGUCUGAGAGGAUGACCAGCCACACUGGAACUGAGACACGGUCCAGACUCCUACGGGAGGCAGCAGUGGGGAAUAUUGCACAAUGGGCGCAAGCCUGAUGCAGCCAUGCCGCGUGUAUGAAGAAGGCCUUCGGGUUGUAAAGUACUUUCAGCGGGGAGGAAGGGAGUAAAGUUAAUACCUUUGCUCAUUGACGUUACCCGCAGAAGAAGCACCGGCUAACUCCGUGCCAGCCGCCGCAGUAA